UACGGGGGGGGCAAGCGUUGUUCGGAAUUACUGGGCGUAAAGGGCUCGUAGGCGGCCAACUAAGUCAGACGUGAAAUCCCUCGGCUUAACCGGGGAACUGCGUCUGAUACUGGAUGGCUUGAGAUUGGGAGAGGGAUGCGGAAUUCCAGGUGUAGCGGUGAAAUGCGUAGAUAUCUGGAGGAACACCGGUGGCGAAGGCGGGUCUCUGGGCCGUAACUGACGCUGAGGAGCGAAAGCGUGGGGAGCGAACAGG
rnacentral:rRNA from 1 species